CCUACGGGAGGCAGCAGUGAGGAAUAUUGGUCAAUGGGAGAGAUCCUGAACCAGCCAAGCCGCGUGAGGGAAGACGGUCCUAUGGGUUGUAAACCUCUUUUGUCGGAGAACAAAACCCGGGACGCGUCCCGGACUGCGUGUAUCCGACGAAAAAGCAUCGGCUAACUCCGUGCCAGCAGCCGCGGUAAUACGGGGGAUGCGAGCGUUAUCCGGAUUUAUUGGGUUUAAAGGGUGCGUAGGCGGUCCGUUAAGUCAGCGGUAAAAUUGCGGGGCUCAACCCCGGCGAGCCGUUGAAACUGGCAGACUGGAGUGGGCGAGAAGUACGCGGAAUGCGCGGUGUAGCGGUGAAAUGCAUAGAUAUCGCGCAGAACUCCGAUUGCGAAGGCAGCGUACCGGCGCCAGACUGACGCUGAGGCACGAAAGCGUGGGGAUCGAACAGGAUUAGAUACCCUGGUAGUC
rnacentral:rRNA from 1 species